AAAACAAUUAUAUCAAUUGGAGGAGUCAUGUGCCCAGGAAAUAUGUUUUGUAACUAAUUAAGACCUCGAGCAAAAGGAUGUCUCAAACUCUCUGGGCGGUUUAAGAAACUGUAUAAAAGUGCUCGCGACUCAGGGUUCUUUAACCACUUCUCUUGACUUAUCCUCCUUGGUAACCUUGGUUAACCUCCAGCGCAGAAAGAUGACUUUCGACGAACUCAUGAAUGAGGAAUUGUAUUAUAACCCCUACUGUUACAAGGGCUGGCGCGGCUAUAGAGGCCAUUAUGGCUGCUAUAGGCCCUGGGGUUACCAGAGGCCAUACAGGUAUGGGUGGGGCCAUCAGUAUGAUUGCCACUACCCUUACCGAUGGGGCCAUGGGUACGGCUAUGGAAAGUUCUGGCCAUGUUUCGCCGAGGAGCAAUAGACCUGGAACAAGGAACAACCAGGAAACGUAAAGCGAGUUACGGAAUCACGGCUGGCCUCACGGGUAAUGGCUUUCGGAAAUGCUGAUGGCGCACAACUCCCAUGGGAGCCGUGAGUCCUCAGCACCUCCGUAAAUCUGCCCAGUAUCUUUAUUGCCCAAGUUACACUUUAUGACUUUUUCCUCUAUUGUCUACCACAACUUCUGGUGUGAAAUGCGUCACCUUCUAACGGGUGAUUUGUUAACGACUUUCUCGAAACCCGGGAAAUAUUUUCUUUUUACUCUGCUACUUCCCAUCUCCUCCUGUGUACUUCUCAUCGUUUUCACAUUAAACUGAUUCUGUCUCCUAA